GACGAACGCUGGCGGCGUGCUUAACACAUGCAAGUCGAACGGAAAGGCCCUGCUUUUGUGGGGUGCUCGAGUGGCGAACGGGUGAGUAACACGUGAGUAACCUGCCCUUGACUUUGGGAUAACUUCAGGAAACUGGGGCUAAUACCGGAUAGGAGCUCCUGCUGCAUGGUGGGGGUUGGAAAGUUUCGGCGGUUGGGGAUGGACUCGCGGCUUAUCAGCUUGUUGGUGGGGUAGUGGCUUACCAAGGCUUUGACGGGUAGCCGGCCUGGGAGGGUGACCGGCAGCGUGGGAAUUGAGAUCCGCCCCAUCCCCUGCCGGUGGGCGGGGUGGGGGAUGAUUGCAAGUUGGGGGGAAGCGUGGCACAGCAACGCCGUGAGCGGAAGCCCGCCCUUAGGUUUGUAACCGGCUUGCGCAUGGGACAGGGGGUGGGUGACGGUAAGGAAAAAAGAAGCACGGCCUAACUACGGG
rnacentral:rRNA from 1 species